rnacentral:rRNA from 1 species
GAUGAACGCUAGCGGCAGGCUUAACACAUGCAAGUCGAGGGGCAGCGCGGGAUAGCAAUAUCCUGGCGGCGACCGGCGGAAGGGUGCGUAACGCGUGAGCGACAUGCCCGUUGCCCGGGGACAACCGGUGGAAACGCCGACUAAUCCCCGAUGGGAUAUUGUGCCGCAUGGCACGAUAUUGAAAGUUACGGCGGCGACGGAUUGGCUCGCGUCCGAUUAGCUUGUUGGCGGGGUAACGGCCCACCAAGGCUGCGAUCGGUAGGGGUUCUGAGAGGAAGGCCCCCCACAAUGGGACUGAGACACGGCCCAUACUCCGACGGGAGGCAGCAGGGAGGAAUAUUGGUCAAUGGGCGGAAGCCUGAACCAGCCAUGCCGCGUGCGGGAAGGAGGCCCUAUGGGCUGUGAACCGCUUUUGCCUGGGGGCAAUAAGGGCGUCGCGCACGUCCGAUGAGAGUACCAGGCGAAUAAGCAUCGGCUAACUCCGUG